UACGAGGGGGGCGAGCGUUGUUCGGAUUCACUGGGCGUAAAGGGUGCGUAGGUGGUGAGGUAAGUCGGAUGUGAAAUCUCCGAGCUCAACUCGGAAAUGGCAUUGGAAACUACCUUGCUCGAGGGUUGGAGGGGGGACUGGAAUACUUGGUGUAGCAGUGAAAUGCGUAGAUAUCAAGUGGAACACCAGUGGCGAAGGCGAGUCCCUGGACAACUCCUGACACUGAGGCACGAAAGCUAGGGGAGCAAACAGG
rnacentral:rRNA from 1 species